rnacentral:rRNA from 1 species
GAUGAACGCUGGCGGCGUGCCUAAUACAUGCAAGUCGAGCGAACAGACGAGGAGCUUGCUCUUCUGACGUUAGCGGCGGACGGGUGAGUAACACGUGGAUAACCUACCUAUAAGACUGGGAUAACUUCGGGUAACCGGAGCUAAUACCGGAUAACAUGUUGAACCGCAUGGUUCAACAGUGAAAGACGGUCUUGCUGUCACUUAUAGAUGGAUCCGCGCCGCAUUAGCUAGUUGGUAAGGUAACGGCUUACCAAGGCAACGAUGCGUAGCCGACCUGAGAGGGUGAUCGGCCACACUGGAACUGAGACACGGUCCAGACUCCUACGGGAGGCAGCAGUAGGGAAUCUUCCGCAAUGGGCGAAAGCCUGACGGAGCAACGCCGCGUGAGUGAAGAAGGUCUUCGGAUCGUAAAACUCUGUUAUUAGGGAAGAACAAAUGUGUAAGUAACUAUGCACGUCUUGACGGUACCUAAUCAGAAAGCCACGGCUAACUACGUG